UACGUAGGGGGCGAGCGUUAUCCAGAUUUACUGGGCGUAAAGCGCGUGUAGGCGGCUGGUUAGGUGUGAUGUGAAAUCUCCAGGGCUCAACCCGGAAACUGCUUUUCAUACUGGCAGACUUGAGGGAUGCAGAGGUGAAUGGAAUUCCUGGUGUAGCGGUGAAAUGCGUUGAUAUCAGGAGGAACACCCAUGGCGAAGGCAGUUCACUGGGCAUCAUCUGACGCUGAGGCGCGAAAGCGUGGGUAGCAAACAGG
rnacentral:rRNA from 1 species